UGCUUUUGUGGAGGGGGAAAUGACUGAAGCUGGUCAUCUGCAGGGUUAUCGGUGGAUGAAUCAGCGGGUCAUUCAGAGAGUUUUUGCGGUUUGUGAAAAAACAAUCCAACUGAUGAUCAACAUUUGUGAUCCAGAGGGAGUCGAGCUCCAACGAGCACCACGUCUCUGACACCGGCGGAAACCUACACCUGCAGAGACACCAACACCUUAUUAUGGUAUAUGGAUUCAUAUCAUAAACUGAAGCUCAAUGUCAUUCACAGAUAUUUACGGCUGCAUAAACGGAUAUAUCCUCAGCAUAUUCAUUUCUGCCUCCACAAAAGCAGUGAUUUCCUUCAAGUACACCAGUUUUUUUCGCCAUGGAAAAGAUGUAUUUCUCAUAUAUUCCAAGUCCCUAUACUUAUGACAAUGUAAUGCUGAUGUGCCAGAGGAUGAAGUAUCUCCUUGUUUGUGAAACCUAUACUGAAGCACAGUUCCUUUAAAUGCUUCAUGGCCCUAAUUUUAACAAGUCUCCUUUGAAAUAACAGGUAACCUUACGACUUUAUUCUCGUAAAUUCACGACUUAAAUCUCGAAGUCUUAAAAAAUUCUCAAUAUGGCCCUCAUACUCCUUCAUACAAAAAAAAAAAAAAAAAUGCGCGCAUAUCAUUUCUUAGCAUUUCGUGCCAAAUGGGACACCGUUCGCGCUGCGUGAUGACAUCAUGCACGCUUCAAAUGCGCCGUUCGACGGAUGUUAGAUAUUAUUUUUCAAAAUAAUGUGAACAUGCACAAUUAAGUCAGCUUUAUGUGCGAUGAAGUAUGUGACGCCAGACGUUGACAAGCUCUAGUAUUGGAUGUUAAAAUAUCAUGUUAUUGUUUAAAAAAAAUCAAAGUUAAGAAAAAUGAAAAUGUUAUCGUAUUUUACGUUUAAAUAUCAUGGUAAAGUAUGAUCAAAUUUUCAGUAUAGAAGAAUGAAUAUAGAACAAAAUGAAAAAAAUCCAAAUAAUAGAUAAAAUCUGGAAUACAAUGAUAAAAAUAAAGUAUGAUAUGCAGAUAGCAUAGUUUAAUAAAAAUGUCAUAGUAUGGUAUAAUAAAAAAACAACAGUUUAGGAUGAUAAAUAUAUUUUGUUGUGUGGUAAAAUGUAAAAGUGUAGUGUAAAAUAAAAUGCUAAUAUUGAAACAAAUAAUAUAGCUUGAUAUCACUAACAAAAAAUAAACUCCAAAUGAACGAUUAAACUUACUGAGCAAUUGUUUUAUCAAGUUGUGCCUGGCUUUGAGUCCGUCUUCUGAACCCCAACCACUGCUGUUUGGGUGGAGUGGGUGUGUGCUCGGUGCUGCGACCAGAUGUAAGAUGUUAUUUUUCAAAAUAAUGCAAACAAGCGCAAUAUAGUCCUCUUUGUAGAGGGAAUUCACAUGACGUCAAUUCCGCUUUCUGGGGAUCCCCAGAGAAACCUCAUUGGGCUUACAUGGACCAAUCUCUAGAUCCACAAUGUGAAAUUCUGAAAGGUAUAGUAAAGAUUGGUUGUACUUACGACUUCGAAAUGUGUUCUCUUGCUAAUGUUAUCUGUGUUUUAAAUUUUCCUAUUACGAAAUUGUAUAGAUUAGUCAGGAAUGAAAGCUAACUCAUGCUAAUGAUGCUAGCGACCUCCCCAUCCAGCAUCAUUUCAUUUUGCAUUUCUUUUUUAUAUCAAUGUGUAAUCAUUUACCAUACCUCUAACUUCUGGCCAAAGAACUGAAUCUAAUCUUAUGUAAUUUAAUGAAAGCUAAAAUUGAAACUUCAAGGACCACUGGGUUUUAUAAUGAGUGUUGUUUUAGACGUGUGGUUUCCAAGUAGGCAGUAACUAAGCUAGGAACCUCUGUUGUUAUGUGAACGUUACUACUUUGAAACUGUGAUGGCCAGUGGUCGUUAUCAGCUACAAAGGCUGAUUAACCCAUAAAUUCUUUUGAUGUGUCCUUAGAUUGAUUAAAAGAAUGCUAGCAAUGUUGUAUUUAUAAGAUACCUUGCUGUGUGUAACAAUAACACAUGGAGACUUCUUUUUGAAUUUCCUUUUUACACCAAUAUAGACUCCCCCUAUUGUGUUAAAGUUAUUACCAUGGAGAUUAAACAUUGUUGCUCUUCUUUCUCACAACAGUAUGUCACAAGCCUGGGUUAGUGUCGCCUGUUGCUCCAACAGCAAAAAGAAAUCCCCUCAUUUAAGCUUCCAUGACUUCCAGUCCAUUAAACUGCACGUGUCAACUGGGUGAGGGCAAUCAGGAGAGAUGAGGGACCAAGUUGUGUAAUCACUCGUGGAAGCACCUAUGUGUGUAGUGAACUUUUUAAACCUGAGGAUCUGCACAAGCCAACCCAAGCCAGUGGAAAAACUUGCAUUGAACACAGAGCUGUGCCUUUAAGAUUCCACUGGGAUGACUUUAACAUUAUCAAAUAACAAUGUUAAACCUAGCCAGUACAGUGGUCUAUCUGUCUCUCCAGCUUUUUACUGAACAGAAAAUGCAUUUUCAGAUCGGGAUACAACUUUUAACGAUUGGUAGACUGAGGAGAGAGAACUCACAAGUUUAUAACUAGUUAAGUAAUGUUGGAAACAGAUCAUCGCACCCAGCCUAUGAACUGACCCAUAGUAACUAUUCUUGAGAUAUUCAGGCUCUAUUAUUUUGCUAUGAAACAUAUUUCUGAAGGCAUGUAAAGCAUUUUUGAUGUAAUAUGUCAACUUUUGUCUUUUAUUUUUUUAGGGUUCACAAAUUACAGAUGCCCAGCGUUGGACACCAGUCUUUCAGUUUCUCCCUGCUCGCCAUAACAUAGGGAUCUGGAAGAGGUCCUGACAGAAAAAAGGGAGAAAAGUCAAAUGCAGAUUGAAUUAUGACACCUGUUCUUUCAAAAUAAAGUGCAACUACCUGUCUAUGUUUGUAGAGAAAACAGAGAAUACUAAAUGUGUACAACUAAAUGCAUUAGACUUUUUAGUAUUUAGUAUUUAAGCUGCCCCGCAACCAAUCAUCAAUUCCUAAAGAAAUGUAUAACUAAUAUAUGUUCUGUUAGAAAUGCCUAUGACACCUAUGACAGAUGAGAGCUCAGUCAUACUCACCAGUAUAAGCCUUGUAAGAAUAAGAAUAAGAAUAACUUUAUUAACCCUCAAAGAGAAAUUUACUUGUCUGUUGUCUCACAAAAUCUCACAAGUAUUUAUAUGAUGUCACCACUUCAAUGUGCACUCCACAGGAGUUCACUGGCUCAAGAGGGAGUUUGGUUUAUGACUAUCUCCUUUGUCUUUGAGGUGUUAAGGAGGAGGCAGUUUUUGUGACGCCAGUCACUGAAGGCUCUUAUUAGAUCUCUGUAUUCAGCUUCUCUUCUAGUACAGUCUGCAUUUAACACCAGUCCUCUCUUGUUCCGUUGGCACUUGUCUUCACACCUCCAUUUUAUUAGUGGCCUCUGGUGCAAUCCCCUUUUAUAAAGAUAAAAUGAAUAAUGAUUUAGUACGACAAUACAAAAUAUUUAACUUGUUGAACACUGAACAAAAAUUAAUAUAUGAUUAUGUUCUUCUUCAGUUCAGAACUGAAGAAGCUUCUUGGAUCAGAGGCUAAACGUCUUCUUAACUCUACACAGUCCUGUUGUCUGCUUUUGGAGUCUUCAAGAUAACGAUCAGAAGACCUCAAACAUAAAAACCAGAAUCACAGAUUGUAUUCGACAAUGUUACAAUGUCACGCUGUUACAAAGUAACAAUGCAGAGGUUAAGCCCCACAGAGUGUCGUCGUUGCUUUCUUCCGCUUCAUCCAGGUCUGGGUCGCGGGGGCAGCAGCUUCAGGAGGGAAGCCCAGACAGCCCUCACCCCAGGCGCUCCCGGGCCAGGCAAGAGAUGUAACCCCUCCACCUGGUCCUGGGCCGGCCACAAGGUCUCCUCCCGGUGGUACAUGUCUGGAACACCUCUAACAGGAGGCGUCCAGAAGGUAUCCUAACCAGAUGCCCGAGCCACCUCAGCUGACUCCUCUUGACGUGGAGGAGCAGUGGUUCUACUCUGAGUGCCUCCCGAGUGUCCCAGCUCCUUACCCUAUUUCUAAGGCUGAGUCCAGCCACCCUGCUAAGGAAACCCAUUUCGGCCGCUUGUAUCCGCAAUCUUGUUCUUUCAGUCAUUACCCACAGUUCAUGGCCAUAGGUGAGAGUCGGCACGAAGAUCGACCGGUAAAUCGAGAGCUUCGCCUUACGGCUCAGCUCUUCCUUCACCACGACUGAUCGGUUAAGCAUCCGCAUCACUGCUGACGCCGCCCCGAUCCGCCUGUCGAUCUCCCGUUCCAUCCUACCCUCACUAGUUAACAAGAUCCCGAGAUAUUUGAACUCCUCCACUUGAGGCAGGACCACUCCUCCGACCUGGAGAAGGCAAUCUAACUUUUUCUUUUUCAAUCUAAAAGAGGACCAUGGCCUCGGACUUGGAGGUGCUGAUUCGCAUCCCAGCCGCUUCACAUUCGGCCACGAACCGCCACAACAAGAGCUGAAGGUCACUGCUCGACGAAGCUAGAAGCACCACAUCAUCUGCAAAAAGCAGCAACGCGAUCCUCUGCCUGCUGAACUGGACACCCUCCACCCCCCAGCUGCGCCUAGAAAUUCUGUCCGUAAAGGUUAUGAACAGAACCGGUGACAAAGGGCAGCCCUGGCGGAGUCCAACCCUUACUGGAAACGAGUCCGACUUACACUCCUCAGCCUACCUGGGAAAGCUUAUGCCAGGGUAUGGAAAAAAAGGUUCCGAUCGAUAGUUGAACCUCGGAUCGAGGAGGAACAAUGCGGGUUUCGUCCCGGUCGUGGAACGACGGACCAGCUUUUCACCCUCGCUCGGGUUCUUGAGGGGAGAUGGGAGUUUGCCCACAGAGACUCUGAGGAUAGUCCAGUUACUCAUCAUUUCUAUCAAAUAUCUAUAUUUCUUUUCAUUAAACAUCUAUAUUUCAUUGGCUUGUCUCUGCAUAUUUCUCGAGUAGCCCCUAAGAGAACUGUGUUAGAUCCUCUUCAGUUUCUGCCUUCAUGUUUUGUUACUGUACUGGUUUGUACAUGAACAUUUGACAGAGUCUUUUAUUUUGGGGGGUUCGUUGGGGGUUUGGGCCAUCGCUGAGAGAGGAAAUGGCAGUGGACACUGCAGAUAACAGAGGGACAGAGCGGGGAGAUACAAACAGGAAAGGGGGCUAAAAGCUGGAAAUCAGCCCUUGCUUCCCAUGUCUCUGGGAAUGGUUUGAACCACUAAGCCAGCAGUUUCCAGAAGUUCUUUGUGACCAUUCUCACCUGUGUUGUCGCUUUGCAGCUUUCGCAGCUAUUUCUCACUCUGUCUCAACUCCAGGUCUGAGGGAUGACACACAGCGCAAAGUUAAACUGGGUUCAUGAUGGAGGGCCUCAGGAUGCUGUAUUGUAAAUAUUAUUACCCGAUACCCGUGUUUCUCUAUUAAAGUCUUCCAGCUGUUUUAAGUGGGCACUUUUUUUGGUCUCCAGCUCUGAAAGAAAAAAGGUUCAGAGUUAAUUUGACAGAGUAAAUUUUCCUCAAAUUGACAAAUUUUACUCUGAAAAAGAUAGUAUUUGAUCCCAGUCUAAAUAGAGUGAAAAUGACUCUUCCCACUGAGUAAAUUUUACAGUUGUUUUUACUCUAUUUAAUGUUCAUAUUUUCAUCUGCAUGAUAAUAAUUUAUUCUGCUUUGUAUAAAAUUAAAGUAACCAUACAGUCACCCUCCUCCAUUUAGUGAUAUAUUUUACUAUAAUAGUUUAUUCAAAACAGAAUGAUAAUUCACUCAAGAAUUAAAUUCCACUCAAUUUUGAUUCGCUCUGUACUCUUUACCAGAUUGUAUCCUACUUCAUGCAGAACAGUAUUUCACUCUAUACAGAAAAAAAUAUUUCACCCAAAACAGAAUUAUAAUUCACUCAAAACAGAAUUAUAUGUUUUGAGUGAUUUGUCUGGAGUGAUGUGUGAAGUUUCUCUGAACUCAACAAAUCAGAAACAAUUUCGUAAAGCAACUCUGCAUAUUUGUUAGUCAUAAAAGAUAGUGUUUUCAUCAUAAGAUUAACAUGCAACAGAUAAUGUAACACAUAACAUCCAACAUGUUACCCUUCAAUCCCAUCAGAUUUGUUUCAACAAGCAUCAUGCCAUACCAUCAGAAAUCAAGUUGUGGCCUCUGUUAAACAAAAAAAUGUAUAUCAUACAUUAAAAUAAAAUACAAUAUAUUUGCAUACAAGAUGUAAAGAAAACAGAAAAAAAUCCAAUGGGCCCUACUCACACAACAGUCAUAUUCUCCUAAUGUAUUGCUCAGGAUGGGAAGCUCAAAUUUAGCUGUGGAAAGAGAAUGUGACAAAGUGUUUCACUCCUUUCCAAAUGAUCAGCAACUGAAAAGGGAGUGGAUUGUAAAAAUCCAGAAUAACAUCGAGCCAUACUUACAGAUAAAACACUACAUUUCAUGUCUUGCUGGUGUUGCAAGGCAGAAUUAACUGAUGUAUGUUAUACAAUUAUCAAAUAUUUAGUUUGCACUUUGAAAUGUAGUCUCAUUGUCUCUGAAGAUUUUCACUAUCCACUCCCUUUUCAUUUGUUGAUCAUUUAGAAAUUAGUUCAAUGGCCAUCUCUUCCUUUAAGAGACUUUUAAUCUAAAACAGCAGCAUGACACAGGGUGGGAAGCUAAAAUGUAGCUGUUCAAAGGACUGAGCGUGAUGUUAGCAGAAAAAGCCGUGAGUGUGAAUAGGUUCCAUACCACUAUCACACACAUCUAGGUUUUAAGUGCUUAUUGUGCACAUUUACAUUCACAGAAAAUAGUAUAGGACAUUAAACAGAUCUGAAUUAUCACUACUUUAUGAAGAAGAAGAACAUUAUUGAUCCCCGAAGGGAAAUUCAAUUGUCUGUUGUCUCACGUAAUAUGUCUAUAAAAGUUAUCUAUCAUUUACAUAAGAGUUAUAAAGCCUGAUGGCUGUUGGUACAAAAGAUCUUCUGAAUCCUUCUGUCCUGCAGUGAAGAGAGAGGAGCCGUACACCACCAUUUGCCCUUUGGUCCAUCAAGGUGUUGUGAAGUGGGUGAUCCAUGUUCUUGAGAAGUCUCCACCUUCCUCAAUGUGGAUCUCUCCAUCACAUCCUCCACUGAGUCCAGCUUGAGUCCUACCACUGAGCCAGCCUUUUUCACCAGUUUGUUAAGACGUCUUGCAUCUUUGUGUUUGAUGUUCCCCCCCAGCAGACUGCAGCGUAGAACAGCACACUUGCCCCCAGAUGUGUAGUCUAUAUUCUAAACCAGUCCAACUUAUUAUCCAGAUGUACACCUAGGUAUUUAUAUGAUGUCACCACUUCGAUGUCCACUCCACAGGUGUUCACUGGCUGAAGAGGGGGUCUGGAUCUACAGAAGUCUAUGACCAUCUCCUUUGUCUUUGAGGUGUUGAGGAGGAGGCAGUUUUUGUGACUCCAGUCACUGAAGGCUUUUAUUACAUCUCUGUAUCCCUUCCGGAACCUUUAGAUUUUCCUCCCUCUAAAGUCCCUCGUGGCUGUUAAAAGCCACUUUUUCUGUCGGCUUUUUACCCUUUAAGGGCCAAUUUAAGACAUAAAGUCACUUAAAAAGCAAAAAAAUGGAAGGAAAAUGAAGGAAAAUGACCCAUUUUUUUAAUAAAACAUGAUCAAAAACUGGUAAUCUCUUGCAGGGUAUUAAAGUCUUGAAUAUGUCAGAGAUUAGUAAUAUAAUUUACUUAUAUGCAUUUUCAGUUUUUCUGUAGCAUCAGAUUUAAUGAAAAACUGCCUUUGGCGCCUCCGAGUGGCCAAAGCUACUUUGUCUGCUGUAAAAUCAUAUUGGAUUAAUAUUUUUUUCAGAUUUUU
rnacentral:lncRNA from 1 species